ensembl:lncRNA
UACAGUAUAUGGCUACCUUUAUUUACAUGUAUCAAGUGUAUGUUGGUUGGUGACUGUUCUUUGAAAAGUUUAAGGCAAAGACUACAGAUAGAUAUGGUGUGUAUAAAAGUUGUGCCGUUGUCACCAAUAAAGACGACCCUGACUAACACUGGCACGCUCUGCUGGUCACAUCGAAAGUACACCGUAAAAAUUAAACAAAUGUCCUUCUCUCUCUACAUUUGACAUUAACCAUGAACACACAAAAGAGACCAUCUGUAACCAGAUGGCUGUAGGGUUCAAAUCAAAUGUCAUGUCACAUGCUUUUGUAAACAAUACGUGUAGACCGACAGUGAAAUGCUUACUUAAAUCUACCCCUGUUAGUUAUGAAGCAUGUGACAUUAUGUUCAAGUUAAACUUUUGUAUAAAUACUAAAUAUUUCAGUGUAAUUAUACAGUAGGCUGAUUGAUGGUGACAAGUGACAAUUAGCGUUUUCAAAGUUCUAUAUCUUGAAAACUGGAUUGCUGCACUGCAAAACAUUUUUUGGGGGGCUGUAUCAACAGUGGACGAAUGAAACAAAUAUACACAAAAAUAUCAUUUUGGGAGUGGAAUUGACCUUCAAGUCAAAGUUGCUGAAUUAAAAAGGUGAUCAUCCCUGUAAAAUGUCUAUUCCCGACGCGCUUCAUAUCGUCAGCUCACUCUCAAUAUCACGUUAGAGGAUGAGGCAUCUCUAUCAUGUACAGUAUGCGUUCUCUAUGCCCAUUGGACAGACUGAAAAGCGGACCUGAGACCUCCCUCAGUGUUCCGACGCAGCAUUAAGAACAGACAGAAUAUACAUCUAGAUGCUGAUCCACACAUUAUACCGGUCUGUCAGCUGGACAAUGGCUUCACCAUGAGCAGGUCUGAUCACCUUUCAGUUUAGAGACAAGGGCAGCAGGUCUGAUCACCUUUCAGUUUAGAGACAAGGGCAGCAGGUCUGAUCACCUUUCAGUUUAGAGACAAGGGCAGCAGGUCUGACCACCUUUCAGUUUAGAGACAAGGGCAGCAGGUCUGACCACCUUUCAGUUUAGAGACAAGGGCAGCAGGUCAGAUCACCUUUCAGUUUAGAGACAAGGGCAGCAGGUCUGAUCACCUUUCAGUUUAGAGACAAGGGCAGCAGGUCUGAUCACCUUUCAGUUUAGAGACAAGGGCAGCAGGUCUGAUCACCUUUCAGUUUAGAGACCAGGGCAGCAGGUCAGAUCACCUUUCAGUUUAGAGACAAGGGCAGCAGGUCUGAUCACCUUUCAGUUUAGAGACCAGGGCAGCAGGUCUGAUCACCUUUCAGUUUAGAGACCAGGGCAGCAGGUCUGAUCAUAUAAAUAGAACACGGUCGACUUGAAAUGUCUGUUCUAGAUAUUUUAUUUGAAUUAGUGUGAUUCUGUUUUACUGUACCGCUCUGCCUUACCAGCAGUCUUCUACCUAUAGCGGACAUUCUGCUGGUUAAAUGAACAGCUGAACGAAAACAGAUAAACACUUGAGAUACAGAGAGAGAGAGAGAGACAGAGAGAGAGAGAGACAGAGAGAGAGAGAGAGACAGAGAGAGAGAGAGAGAGAGAGAGAGAAAAGAUACAGGUUUCACCUUAGUGCACAGGAGCAGUAACAAUGUCACCAACCAACACCAUAAAAAUGGAAUAUCUUUAAACUAACAAACUCUUUGUCCUUGAGACUUCAGUAUAUUCAAAAUGAAACUACCAAAAGAUCUGAACAACAAAAAAUCAUUCAAAUGACUACAUACUAAUACAGUAUAGUGUUUUAAAUUACUCUGUACAUCUUGGAACGGUCCCCAAAAAAGCUACUUAUUUCCUAUACAGUGCACUACAUUCAUCAGGGCCCAUACGACUCUACUUUUGCUCAAAGGUAGUGCACUAUAUAGGGAAUAGGUUGUUAUUUGGGACGUAAGCACUAAGUCACGUGACUGGGCGGAAGGGAGAUACUGUACAAGAAAAACAUUACUUCAAAUGAAUACACACUUUUUUUUUUUUUUUUUUUUUUUUUUUUAACACAGAACCCCCUACACACACACACGAGUAGAGUACAGUGUUUGGAGGACGACAACAAUCUCCCAGUUCACAAUCAGACCCUUUCUCAUUUUCAUAUAGAGAACAAAUGAGACCACCAUGUGUGGGAGGUUAUGUGGGGGCAGGGCAUAUCAGGGAAGCACCUCCCACCCCCGCAUCCCUGAUAAGCCCGCCCCCGCAUCCCUGAUAAGCCCGCCC